UUCAGACCAAUGCGGCUCAAACCGCUUUGUGAGGAAUCAAGAUAACUGAUCGAAGCCAAUACAUUGGCUAAAUCAUUCGAGCUUCUGACCUAUCAGCUUGUUGUUAGUGUAUUGGACUAACAAGGCGGUAACAGGUGACGGAGAAUUGGGGUUCGAUUCCGGAGAGUCAGCCUGAGAAACGGCUGACAUUUCUACGGAAGGCAGCAGGCGUGAAAAUUACCCAAUCACAAUUCGUGGAGGUAGUUAAUAGACAUAACAGUCCCGGCCUUUUAGGUAUGGGAAUGUAAUGAGCUCAGUCUAGACAGCUGGGCGAAAUCCAUUGGAGGGCAAGUCUGGUGCCAGCAGCCGCGGUAAUUCCAGCUCCAAUAGCUUUGUUGAAAGUUGCUCAGUUAAAAAGCUCGUAGUUGAAUAUCCGGCGUCUCUGACGUCUGCCCGAAUCGGCUGUAGAUAUCGCAUGAUUUUUACUGAUCGAUCUGGCGUUUACUGUGAAUAAAUUAGCGUGCUCAAAACAGGCUUUUGCUUGAAUUUCUUAGCAUGGAAUAAUAAAAUACGACUUCGCUCAUUUUAUUGGUUCUUGGACGAAGUAAUGGUUAACAGGAACAGUUGGGGGCAUUCGUACUUAAAAGUCAGAGGUGAAAUUCUUAGAUUUUUUAAAGACGAACUAAUGCGAAGGCAUUUGCCAAGGAUGUUUUCAUUAAUCAAGAACGAAAGCGUUGGGAUCAAAAAGGAUCAGAUACCCUUGUAGUCAACGCCGUAAACGAUACUAACUAGGGAUUGGCGAGGAUAACCCUCGUCAGCACCUAAUGAGAAAUCAAAGUCUUUGAGUUCUGGGGAGAGUAUGGUCGCAAGGCUGAAACUUAAAGGAAUUGACGGAAAGAUACACAAGUCGUGGAUUCUGCGGCUUAAUUUGAUUUAACACGGGAAAACUUACGCAGGCAAAAAGCUAAAAGGAUUGACAGCUUGAUAGCACUUUCUUGAUAUGGCAGCGAGUGGUGCAUGGCCGUUCUUAGUUGGUGGAGUGAUUUGUCAGGUUAAUUCCCUUAACGAACGAGAUCUUCACUUGCUAACUAGUCGCUGUUAAAACUUAGCAGUUGACUUCUUAGAAGGACUACGAUUGCAAAAUCGUGGAAGUCGGAGGCAAUAACAGGUCCGUGAUGCCCUCAGAUGUUUGCGGCCGCACGCGUAAUACCAUGAUUAGCACAAUAAGUUCACCUAAUCCGAGAGGAGCUGGGUAAUCUUGAUAAUGCUAAUCGUGCUUGGGAUAGAACCUUGCAAUUGUGGUUCUUGAACGAGGAAUGACUAGUAAGCUGAAGUCACUAACCUCAGCCGAUUACUGUCCCUAUCUUUUGUACACACCGCCCGCCGCUCCCAUCGAUUGAGUGUGUCGACGAGUUCUCCGGAUCGUGUCCUCUGGAUUUCGAGAAGUUGUGCAAGUUGAUACACUUAGAGAAGGGAUAAGGCGUAACAAGGUU
rnacentral:rRNA from 1 species